rnacentral:rRNA from 1 species
UUAAGUUGCAGGGUAUAGACCCGAAACCCGGUGAUCUAGCCAUGGGCAGGUUGAAGGUUGGGUAACACUAACUGGAGGACCGAACCGACUAAUGUUGAAAAAUUAGCGGAUGACUUGUGGCUGGGGGUGAAAGGCCAAUCAAACCGGGAGAUAGCUGGUUCUCCCCGAAAGCUAUUUAGGUAGCGCCUCGUGAAUUCAUCUCCGGGGGUAGAGCACUGUUUCGGCAAGGGGGUCAUCCCGACUUACCAACCCGAUGCAAACUGCGAAUACCGGAGAAUGUUAUCACGGGAGACACACGGCGGGUGCUAACGUCCGUCGUGAAGAGGGAAACAACCCAGACCGCCAGCUAAGGUCCCAAAGUCAUGGUUAAGUGGGAAACGAUGUGGGAAGGCCCAGACAGCCAGGAUGUUGGCUUAGAAGCAGCCAUCAUUUAAAGAAAGCGUAAUAGCUCACUGGUCGAGUCGGCCUGCGCGGAAGAUGUAACGGGGCUAAACCAUGCAC